rnacentral:lncRNA from 1 species
GGGCAGGAAAGCGAAGACAUCCUGUAGUGAAGAGUGCAUCGUUCUUCAAAAACGGGUUAAAAAAAUUCCCAUGUAGCAAAGAACAUAGAAAUGUAACCGUGUCGUUAAUUUCUGAGUCUCUUUAGAAAGACCGUUGGUGCUGGUUUGUGUUUGCUGGAGCUUCCAGAAGAAAACUAAUGGAAAAGUGGAGGGGGAGGAGGAGGACGAAGACUGUAAAGUUCAUUCCUGCUGAUCUUCAUUGCUGGCACUUGGAGUUCGACUCCUGAUCUGGCUUCGUAGCUGCUCUAUUAGUUCAGGAUUCUGCUGCUGCAUCUGCUGCGCAAACUGCUGGCCCGCUUGUAUGAGGCUGGCAAGAUCAUUCGUGGAGGGGCUGGUGCCUGCUGCUCCCAUGGGGUUAUGGCCACCAGAAAUCAUCCCAGACAUGAGCUGUUGUACUUGUGGAUUGUUCAUUAGGUUAGAUGCCAUACUCAUGAAGCCAGGGUUGUUCAGCAAGCCAGCUAAAUCGAAUCCUCCAGGACCUCCGGUCGGACUAGGAGUCUCCUUCAUUUUCUGUUCGGCUAUUUUAAGGUUGGAUUUGUACGUGUCGUUGUCUGGAUCAAGCUCCAGGGCUUUUUUGUAGUAGACAACAGCUUCUGUGUGUUUAUUUAAACUGGAGAGGGCCAAGCCCAUUCUGCCGUAAGCUUUGCUGUAGUUUGGAUCAAUGCCUAUUGCUCUUUCACAGUCUCUGACUGCUCCAGCAUAAUUUCCUAAUUUACUGUAUGCAGCAGCUCUGUUGCAAAAAUACACAGCAUUGGAUGGAUUUAACUCAAUUGCUUUUCCGUAGAAAGACACAGCAGCUUCAAAGUUCUCUGCCUUCAUUUGUUCAUUUCCUUCAGUCUUGAGCCUUUCAGCUUCAGCUAUGUCAUCUUCAGAGGGGGUGACUGGCUCCGAGUUUGCUCUGAUGUGUUCAGGCUCCUUUCCUGCAGCAGCUUCAAAUAUUUCAGGGAGAGUCCGCGACACUGCGAGGCCUUGG